rnacentral:rRNA from 1 species
GAUGAACGCUAGCUACAGGCUUAACACAUGCAAGUCGAGGGGCAGCGGUAUCGAAAGCUUGCUUUCGGUAGCCGGCGACCGGCGCACGGGUGAGUAACGCGUAUCGAACCUGCCUCAUACUCGGGAAUAGCCUUGCGAAAGUAAGAUUAAUGCCCGGUGUUUUCAGAGUCCCGCAUGAGGCUUUGAACAAAGAUUUAUCGGUAUGAGAUGGCGAUGCGUCCCAUUAGCUUGUUGGCGGGGUAACGGCCCACCAAGGCAUCGAUGGGUAGGGGUUCUGAGAGGAAGGUCCCCCACAUUGGAACUGAGACACGGUCCAAACGCCUACGGGAGGCAGCAGUGAGGAAUAUUGGUCAAUGGGCGGAAGCCUGAACCAGCCAAGUAGCGUGCAGGAAGACGGCCCUCCGGGUUGUAAACUGCUUUUAGUUGGGAAUAAAACGGGGCUCGUGAGCCCCCUUGCAUGUACCAUCAGAAAAAGGACCGGCUAAUUCCGUG